UCACCCCUCAAGCCCCGUGCUUGGUGUUGGACGGCUUAGUCGCGUUAUCGCGACUCCUCCUAAAGACAAUGACGGCGGCCUGUGGUUCCCCCGGUACACUGAGCUUUUAAUUGAGCACGUAUUGGAUAAGGGUACCCGGGACCCGGUCUUCUCCCUUUGCCGGGAAAUUUUUCAAAU
rnacentral:misc_RNA from 1 species